AACAAGAUGGUUUGCCAUGGUUCUGCACCAUUUGAAAAUAUUGUAAGGAUUAGGAGGUGUGGCCUCGUUGGAGAAAGUGUGUCACUGAAGGUGGGCUUAGAGGUUUCAAAAAGCCCAUGUCAGACCCAGUCUCCCCGCCCACCCUAAUGGAACAGGAUGUAGCUCUGCGCUACUUCUCCAGCAGCAGUCCUGCCUGUUGCCUGUUACUCCCUGCAAUUAUGGUGAAUGGACUGAGACUCUGGAACUGUAGGCAAGCCCCCAGUUAACUACUUUCUUUUAUAAGAGUUACCUUGUGUUGGUAUUCUGUCUAAACUCCACCCUCACAGCUACCUGGGAACAAACAGCCAGGUAUGCUCCGCCCCGGUUGCCUAGCAACAGCCAACUGUGCCUGACUUAUAUAAAAGGGGCUGCUUGCCCCCUCCUCACUCUCUUUUUUUUUUUUUUUUUUUUUUCUCGGAGCUGGGGACGGAACCCAGGGCCUUGCGCUUCCUAGGGCAAAUUUGAUAUGCACCCAGGUUAACCUUGGCUGAAAGUCAAAGUCCCAUCGUCAGGUGAUCGAGACUCCCACACAUGAGACGCUUAGGGCUAACUGAGAAAUUCUCAUCUGUGAAGAACUAAAGGCCAGAGCUCAGUGUCUCAGGGACAUCAUCCUGGGGAGAGCGACAUGGAGCCUGACUGAGGAGUCAGAUAUCAGAGAAUCCAGCAGGAAGCUGCUCUCCUGCCUUGGCCCCUUGGCCCUGAAAAUGUGUGCCUGCUUCAAGUCCAUCUCCUCUCAGCUGCUGAGUCGUUGUCUGUCUGCAGUGGAGAUGAAGCGACCACAGAUGCCCACAGAUGAGGGCCUCAGCAGCUUUUCAGUCCGACAGCAGCUUUUCAGUCCGACAGCCUCUGACCUCGCUUAUCCCUAGCCGCAGCUUCCAAACCAGCGCCAUUUCAAGGUAUUGGAGCUGCCAAAGUCAUUGGAGCUGAGGCUGCUACAGUUGGGGUGGCUGGCUCUGGGGCAAGGAUUGGGACUGUUUUGGGGAGUCUCCUAUUCGAUUCUGGGCUUUGCCCACUCAGAGGCCACGGGGCUCUCUCGCCUAAUGGUGGCCUUCUCAUCCUCCUCGUCAUGUGGAGCAGCUGUUUCCACUUUCACCUCCUAUAGUUCUUUCGUGUCUCGUCUGCCCCCCCUUAUGUUCCUUUUCCUGUGCCUCCCCAAGAAGUCUGGGGAAAGUGCUUGGCUCAGGGUUUGACAGAGAGAAGACAAAUAAAUACUGUAUUCAUGAGAAAAAAAA